AGCGAACGCUGGCGGCAGGCCUAACACAUGCAAGUCGAACGAACUCUUCGGAGUUAGUGGCGGACGGGUGAGUAACACGUGGGAACGUGCCUUUUGGUUCGGAAUAACUCAGGGAAACUUGUGCUAAUACCGAAUGUGCCCUUCGGUGGAAAGAUUUAUCGCCAUUAGAGCGGCCCGCGUCUGAUUAGCUAGUUGGUGAGGUAACGGCUCACCAAGGCGACGAUCAGUAGCUGGUCUGAGAGGAUGACCAGCCACACUGGGACUGAGACACGGCCCAGACUCCUACGGGAGGCAGAAGUGGGGAAUCUUGCGCAAUGGGCGAAAGCCUGACGCAGCCAUGCCGCGUGAAUGAUGAAGGUCUUAGGAUUGUAAAAUUCUUUAACCGGGGACGAUAAUGACGGUACCCGGAGAAGAAGCCCCGGCUAACUUCGUG
rnacentral:rRNA from 1 species